rnacentral:lncRNA from 1 species
UGUGUAUUCUCAAUCCUCUUUGGUGUUAAUAAGUUCAUUUGUGAACUAGGGGACUAUAAAUCAACGAGGGAGGCUGAUGAGAAAGUUACUAAUUUACAGGUGGCUUUUUGUUACCGAAGAAGAUAUUAAGAGCUUACCCUGCUUCCAGGUUGAAUAUAGUGAAUUGGCUUAAGCGGCUACAAUAAGGAGCAAGUGCAGGGAACAACUAUGAAGUGGGAAAUACGAUUGCUAAGAAAGAGUUAACACAAUGAAUAUUUUACUCGCAUGAAGAUUGUGAAAGAGAUUCAUGAACGCAAUGGAGUUUUCAGUUUUUGUUCAAACAUUUUUUUAAAUAUUUGUUUUGUAUGUUCGAUAUUUAGACUUAGGUUGACACUUAUUAGUUAUUUCUUUGCAAAAAUUUGGAAUCUUUGGAAGAUGAUUGAUU